rnacentral:miRNA from 1 species
ACCCUAACAGGAGCAUUGACU